GUUAGACCCACCUUGUAGCUCAGAGGUGACAGCCAGUAAGAAAAAGUACACUAAUUGAGACAUCUCAAGGGAGAAAUAGAAGAAAACUGAAAAGCUGGCUAAUCAAAAGUGGUCUGCAGAAGACUUUAGUGACUUGGAUGGCAGUUCUGAGACUCCCCCAGACUCAGCAAACUUUUCUGAUCCCAGGAACCAAAAAACAAAGAUGUGUCACAGGCCUGACUGAAUAYGGGAGCAGGGAAGACAGAGCUCAUUCAUCAGAAAGCCUGGAAAUCCCCCGAGGAAAGGUGGAAAACCAAUUAAUAUCUCAUCUGCAAGCUCCUAUAGGUUGUCCAAUACCGAACUGUUCCAAAUCAGCCUUGAACACUCAAAGAAAAAUCUGCCUGCUCUGAAUAUUGCCUGAGGAUUUA